AAUGACCAACGCAGUCGCGAACUGAAUAAAUGAGCCCGAGAUGGGUGUUUUUUGCGGCAACCUGCUGGCAUCAGACCUAGAGAGCGUUCUGAAGCUCUGUCGACUGUUUGGAUACUGGAAGAUGUUGGGAGAUAGGACAGAGAUCACGAGCAGAUGAGGGAAAAUACUAUGAGAAUACAAACUGAAAGUUCCAGGACACUGUUUUCAUAUAUGGAAUCUCUAAUAAUAUUCACAUUCCUUCAGACAUGGUCAGAUAUUGGCGUUUUUUCGUGAACCCAUGGAAGUUUUCAUUGCUCAAGGAAGUGUAAG